rnacentral:rRNA from 1 species
CCCUUAGAUGUUCUGGGCCGCACGUGCGCUACACUGAUGCAUUCAACGAGUCUAAAACCUGCUCUGAUAGGGGUGGGUAAUCUUUUGAAUGUGCAUCGUGAUUGGGAUAGAUGAUUGCAAUUUUUCAUCUUCAACGAGGAAUGCCUAGUAAACGCAAGUCAUCAGCUUGCAUUGAUUACGUCCCUGCCCUUUGUACACACCGCCCGUCGCUCCUACCGAUUGAAUGAUCCGAUGAAUAUCAUGGAUUGAGGAUGCAAGCAGGUUCGCCUGUCUUCAUCUUCGAGAAGUGAAGUAAAUCUUAUCAUUUAGAGGAAGGAGAAGUCGUAACA